UAGGGAAUCUUCGGCAAUGGGGGGAACCCUGACCGAGCAACGCCGCGUGAGUGAAGAAGGUUUUCGGAUCGUAAAGCUCUGUUGUUAAGGAAGAACGAGUGUGAGAAUGGAAAGUUCAUGCUGUGACGGUACUUAACCAGAAAGGGACGGCUAACUACGUGCCAGCAGCCGCGGUAAUACGUAGGUCCCGAGCGUUGUCCGGAUUUAUUGGGCGUAAAGCGAGCGCAGGCGGUUAGAAAAGUCUGAAGUGAAAGGCAGUGGCUCAACCAUUGUAGGCUUUGGAAACUGUUUAACGUGAGUGCAGAAGGGGAGAGUGGAAUUCCAUGUGUAGCGGUGAAAUGCGUAGAUAUAGGGAGGAACACCGGUGGCGAAAGCGGCUCUCUGGUCUGUAACUGACGCUGAGGCUCGAAAGCGUGGGGAGCGAACAGG
rnacentral:rRNA from 1 species